GUGCCAGCCGCCGCGGUAAUACGUAUGUGUGUGCAAGCGUUAAUCGGAAUUACUGGGCGUAAAGCGUGCGCAGGCGGUUGUGCAAGACCGAUGUGAAAUCCCCGGGCUUAACCUGGGAAUGGCAUUGGUGACUGCACGGCUAGAGUGUGUCAGAGGGGGGUAGAAUUCCACGUGUAGCAGUGAAAUGCGUAGAGAUGUGGAGGAAUACCGAUGGCGAAGGCAGCCCCCUGGGAUAACACUGACGCUCAUGCACGAAAGCGUGGGGAGCAAACAGGAUUAGAUACCCUGGUAGUCCACGCCCUAAACGAUGUCAACUAGUUGUCGGGUCUUCAUUGACUUGGUAACGCAGCUAACGCGUGAAGUUGACCGCCUGGGGAGUACGGUCGCAAGAUUAAAACUCAAAGGAAUUGACGGGGACCCGCACAAGCGGUGGGAUGAUGUGGAUUAAUUCGAUGCAACGCGAAAAACCUUACCUACCCUUGACAUGUACGGAGGCCCGGAGAGAUUCGGGCGUGCUCGAAAGAGAGCCGUAACCAAGGGUGCUGCAUGGCUGUCGUCAGCUCGUGUCGUGAGAAGGUUGGGUUAAAGUCCGGCAACAGAGCGCGACCCCUUUUCAUUAGUUGGCUACUUUCUGUUUGAGCACUCCUAAUGAGAGUGGCGGGGAAGAAACAGGAGAAGGGGGGGGGAGGCCAUCAGGCCUCCAAGGCCCCCAAUGGGUAAGGAGCUUUCCACCGGCAAAGAGUGGGGACAGAAGGAGGACCGCCAACGCCCCAGGGAAGGAAGUAUACACCGAGAUACGGAAUCCUAGACUCACAUGCGAGCCCGGCAAAUCAACAUGCCCUGAUGUGUGGGA
rnacentral:rRNA from 1 species